rnacentral:sRNA from 1 species
UGAGUUAGUGCAAACGUUUGCAUACCGCCUCAGUCUUGUGAGUUCCUGUUUUCAGUCCUGUUUUAUCUGGAAGGUGCUUCCCAUUUUGUACAUCUCAAAUUUUGAACAUUAGGAAAGUCCAUUGCUUUACAAAUUCUAGAUUGGUUUCGAGAAACCUUAAGCAUAAAAUUCAAUAAAUGGUUGGGACAUUGGAAGAAUGACAGAAUUACAAUACUUAACAUAAAAAUUUUAGUAAGUAGCCUGAACAUUAGGUACCAAUGAUCCAAAUAAAAUUAGUAAAGGUACUUUGAGUUGGUAGGUCAAUCUGAACAUAGUUGACAUAACCUUGAUUUGAGGGAGAUUUAAUAAUAAUACUAUUACAACACUAAAGUAGGCCUUCUGGCCUAUUAGAAUAUUAUAAACAAAAAUACUUUGUUGUAUUUUUAGGAUCUUUGUCCACAAUUUUAAAGAAUCGUGUGUCAGAGUCCACAUGUGGUGUAGAAUGAUCUGAGGACAGGAUGCGAUAUAAAACACUUGUAAUUUUGUGUUUCAGCAUCUUUCUGUGAAUGUAGAAGAAAUUUCUUUUCUUUUUAAGGUUCCCAAGGACAGUUUCCUUUUAUAGUAAGCAUCCUCAAUCUCAAUCCCCAAAUUGUCUGCUGUUCCUGGUGGCUGGGUCCUCACCACAGCAGAACUGUUACAGUCCUGAUGUGGCUAUGAAUCUGUACCCAUUAUAACUUCCAACUACAAUGUGUAAUACGUUCACGGUUCUAAAACUUCUCACAGUAAACAGACUUUGUAGCUACCCAGAGCAAGGCUUAUAAUCAAUAUAACUUAGAGAAGAAAAAAGGAAAUGUGAUUGUUUAAUGUUUUUAAUGUUUAUUAACUCAAGGAUAGAUAAUUUUACUAUGAAAAACUAAUCACAUUUCAGAGAAAAUUAAUCAUUUCUUGAGCUAUGCAACCAGGUUUUAGGUUGAUUAUUUUGCAAUAAUAUUUAACUCUUUAUUUAUUAAGUGCUUUAUUGUGAUCACUAUAGUUUUGCAACUUUUCGGUCAGCAGCAUGCACUUAUGCAAACCAUUUGUAACACGUAUGUGUGCUAAAAUAUACAUGCUUAUGAACUGGGAUUUGCAACUGAUAUGAACCUUACUACCUAUGGUCAAGAUAUUUCCCAAGAGAAGCCUACUUUUAAACUUCUCGUUCAGCACUGGAAUUUUUGGAUGCCUUUCUAUUACCCAUAGAGUAAAUGCUUGCUUUUUUAUCCUCUAAAAUAGAAUAACUUCUAUUUUAGUAGAUCACGAUUAACUUAUUUAACAUCAUAGAUAAAGGGAAUAUCUUAAAAUAAGACAAAGGGGAGAAAUAUACUGUAGGCAAAAAGCUCAUUAAUUUUUUUAUUAAUAAUUAUGCCUUUUGAGUUUAUUCUGUAAAUACAUAUUUUCUCCUUCCAAACAACUCUCCCAUGUGUUCCCCCCAGCUGUUUUAAAAUUCAUGUUGUUUCUUUUUUCUUGUUUUUAAAGCUGAUCCUCUGCCAUUGAAUAACCAAUAUUUCCUUAUAUGUAUUGCUCAUAAGAAUUAUGUAUGUAUAUAUGCAUGUAUACAAAUUCUACAUUUGCUGCUGUCCCCACUUUUAGGUGCAUAAACAUUAAAGCACAGGGAUACAUUGACCUUCCUUCUCUGGCAAGCAUCCAAGUGUACAAAUACCUGAGAGGGAGUUGACCUGUUGAGGGGCAAUUAUUGCAUCAAAUAAUCCUUUUUGAAGUGGUUUGAGGAAUAAAGAAUUUAGUCUAUGUGUAGUUAACCAACUAUAGCUUAAAACAGUACACACUGUCAAGUUAAAAUAUAUAAUCUGGUCCUUUUUCUUCCUGGAUUGCCAUGUUUCACCAACUACAUCCAAUGUGUGCUCUAACACAUGCUUUCAUAAAGAAUAUUUUCCUGAUUGAUAACCAUCUCCCAAAUGCUUAAAUUUAAAUUUCUAUGCACAAUAUGUCCCAACAAGGAUUUGGUACCUCCUCUCUCCCACAUGUUCUGGAUUUUAAUCUCCAUAUCUCAGUAAGAGCCUCUCAACCACACCAAUAAGACUUCUUGGUAUCUCUUCAGCAUAUGAAAAGCUAGGGAGGGAUGGGAAUAACUCAGACCUUCUACUUAGGCCCUUGUGCAAUGUUGUUCUUGCAAUUUUGAGGUUUGGUUUCUGAUUGGUAUACGAUAGAAACAUAUAAAUAAUGCUAUCAUUUCCACUGCUUGUCUUUUCUCCCCUAGCAAACUGGCAAUUAUUUAGUUUCACAUAGCUUAGACACUUCAACAUAAUUCCUGGAGGCAAGAGGCUCAGGGGAAGUAAAAAGAAAUAGAUUCCUUUCUCUUUCUUCAAAGAGCUCAGCUGGUGACUGUGUGGACAACUAGUUCUUUAUCAUGAAGCUGUUAUCAGCAGAACCACCCAGCAAGGAAACAAUGUAGAAUCCUAUCAACAUCCCAGGAUGUGCUAGGUCUUUAUGAUGUCAAGAACUACAAAUUCCACUGUUAUUGAAGGCUCCCAUCCUAUGGCUUGGCAUAUUGGUUGUGUUCUUCAAUAGUGAAAUUCCCUCUGGCUUUCAUCUUAGUGACCCUUAAAAGCUAACAUGAUUACCAUUGGUUUAUAAAGGAGUGUUCACUGUCUCAAGUAUGCUCAGAGAUGGUUGGAUAUCAAUACUGAUCAUCAUAAGUGAGAGCUCAAUUCAUAAUGACUCAUUUGAAGAAAAAGUAAGUUUCGUCAUAGUACACACACACACACACACACACACACACACACACACACAUACACACACACUAGUGGUAAACAUACUGUGGUCACUUUUGCAUGAAUGUAAAACCUUGAUUUCUUGGAAACUUUUUCACUCAGCAUGAACCUCUGUUCUUGAACAUGCCACUUUAAUUUCUAAGAUAGCUAGGUGCCAUUUGCGUUGAAUCUCAGCUCCGAGGAAGAUAAAUGUUAAUGAAAAUCUUGCAAGAAUAUGUGUUUUAUACCUUUCCCGUUCGAAGGUCUUCCCUAAAAUUUCAUCUGGAAAAUACAGCUGUGAUUGAGUAAUGAAAGAAUGACCCACACCAAAGAUUAGGGGGAAUUCAAUUCAAGAAUUGAAUUGAGUAGGCUAAUAAUUCGAAAGCACACUGCAUGUAAACUGCUAGAAUUUGUAGGCAAAGGCUCAAAACAGUGCACUUAUUGUCUGCCAUAUCUCCAGUAGAAUUGAGACAACCUAUAGAUGACUGCCCAGAAAUUUCCAAGUUGAAGUAACCAGAAUAUUAAACAUCGGCAGCAGUUCCCUUCUGUCUAGUUUUCAUUAUGGUAUUCUCUCUAGUUAGUUCAAUAGAGUUUCUGAUUCUUAAUUGAGACAUAUGAAGUAACUCAAAACUUAAUUCUCUUGUUACAGCUUCAUUGCUGUUGUUUUUUGUUGUACUGGGAAUUAGAACAAGUGCCUCUCACUGGUGAAGCACACACAAUGUUCACAGCCACACCUAAUCCCUCACUUAGUAUUUGUUCAUUCUGUCUAAUAGAACUAAAACUUCCUGAAGAAGGUAUCUGAGUACCUAUUCAACAGCAUAAUCUGUCUUUCUAACUUAACAGAUUAUAUAUAUAUAUAUUUAAUUCACUUUUUAUUACUUCUUAUCUUUGAUUUUCUUGCUAUGGUUUUACUCAUAAUUACUAUUCGCUGCAGCAGAAUUCCCUUUUAUGUGCUGUACUUAUUGAGUGAUUUGUGGACAAUACCUUUAAUGAUCCUAUCAGAAUUUAGUGACUUUAGUGUGGUAAAUUUUCUACAAUCAUUUUUUACAUUACUUUGGACUAACAUUAGAGAUUAGAGAUAGUGUUCCUGAAACAUUUGUAUGCCAACUGAUAUAUAAAACAAGAAGAAGGAGAUUGUGAUAAAAUGCCAUCUUGAUGGGAAAUUUUGUUAAGAAUUAUCUUUGGUCUCCAUUCUGGAGUGCUUUCCAAGUUGAGCUGUAGAAUCAGCACCGUAGUUCUAACAUAGAAAAUAGUAUGAUUUGGUAUAGUACCCUUGCCAAUUACAGUUCAGGUAAAUGAAGAUUAAACAAACUUGAUUGAAUUGAAACGACUCGAUACAGUUAAUUUCAGCUGAACGUAUUUAGCAUAAGCAGACCUGCAUUUGAUUUAUACAAAAGGCUUCUUUUCUCGAAGAAUUCCAUCUGAGUCACCAUGAGACUUGUCUGUAACAUUGUAAAGCAGCUUCCAUUCCAUCUCUAUCAUGAGAGCUUUAAUGGAGUUCUUCACGGCACAGACAAGUUCUAAACACUUGAAUUUUGAUUGCUGUAUGCUUAUGUUUUGACAUUGCAAACUUGAGCUUGUACCCAGUCUACAGAUGGGUAUGUCUACAUCUCUUUGACGCUGUGGCUGUUCACUGAGUCUUAUUACAGACUUGUUUGUGUCUUAGUGUGCCUAUCUAUAAGUUGUAUUCUUUAUACUUAAUUAAACAAUCCUCAACCAACUUGUUAGAUGAUUUUUAAGACUUAUGUGAGGCUAUGUGAAUUUUAGACAGUUCCUCCAUUUUUUCUGUUAAACAAUGCAGUGUACAUUUUGAAUAGCCAAGCAACAUGCUUCAUCUACAGAUGGAGAUCAGAAUGUAAAUGAGAAUUUUACCAUAGUGUAUAAAACUUAUACUUAGUUCAGAAUGUAAUGGUAUUGUUCUUAGUCUAUUGCUAUAAAUAUUCUGCCCAUCCUCCACAUCACUCUUUACACCCCAGUUAAAUCGUUACCUAAGUGACUUCUGCAUGGUGUGAGUUUGGCAUGGUAAAAGCCAAUGUUGGGUAAAUAGAAUUCAGCCCCAAAGAAAAGGGUUCUCUCCAGCUAUCACUCCAGAAAUACGUCACUCAUAAAUUGUGCCUGUAUAACCUCCAUUUAUAAAAAUUUUGUCUUAAGCAAGGUGAGACUAGCACUCUGCUCUAUUGUAGCAUCGAUUUGCAACAGCUUAAGUUUUGUUUUGAUUUGGAUUUGUUUGUUGUGGUAUUGUCUUUUCUAAUCUACAAACUGCUGCGUAAUUUUCUCAUUCAACUGUACUCUAACAGAAAUUGCAAUGCACUAUUGAAAACCUCCCUACAAUCAGAUUUUCCUUUCUAUAAUCUGCUGGUAUAUGUUUCUUUAGCCUUCAAUAUCUGGAGAAUUAGAUGGCAUCAGCUUAAUUAGAUUCAAUACUAAAUUUCUGGCAAGAAUUCUCAAUAGCUGGUAUUGUGUGCUCCCUUCCUAAGACAUGUCAUUUCUAGGUACCUCAUUUUGUCAUGUUAAUUGGCACAGGUAAUCAUUAGACACUUAUAAAAAUUCAUCAGGCACUUUUAAAGUAAGAUCAUCUUCCAUGAUCUAUAUCUGCCGUUUAUCUCUUUUUGCAUGAAGAAAUGGUGAUCCAUACCCUUCCCAGGCUUUCAGUUUAAUUUUUAUUUGAUUAUCUGAGAUAUCACUAUUUAAUUAUUUUGUGUCUGCUUGAAUUGUUUCUGAGCUGGUGAAGUUGCUUCAGAUUUUGCUUUCUGCCUAUUAUGCUUUCUUUUCUUUGUUGCAAAAGCACAGCAAUGACGGGAGUGACGAUACAGGAAGUAUUUUCUCUUCCGCUUGGUUCUUUAAAUUUCACUAAGUAAAGUUAUUAUUAUUUUCAUCUUUUCUUGUAUUUAUUUAGAAAUCUUUGACAUGUCAGUAUGAAGUCUUGAGUAAGUGCUCAGCUUGCUGUUUUAUUUGGUAUUAGGAAGAAUUACAUUGUACUCUGACAAAGUAAAUAAAAAAAAAAUGACGACCCAACUUUGAUUUUCAGUGAUGACUGAGUUUGAAGAACCAUGUAAAUGCUCUAUUUCCUUGAGACUCAAACUGUAAUCCUAGUGGCAAUUUUAUAAUCAUAAAAUAAUUAUCAGUAUUAGCUAUCACAUGGUAGUUUGUUAUGAGAAACUAACAUCUGUGGAUUUUUUUUUCUCUUCCCAAUCCAAAUAGUAAAGAACAUUCUAUGUCAUGUCAUCUAAAGAGUUACUUCAUCAAGAUAAUGUCUUUCUAGUUCCAUUUCUCUGCAAAUUCCAUGAUGCCUUAGGGGUUAAAAGCAAUGAAUACUCUUGAAGAGGACCUGGGUUCAAUUCUCAGCACUUUCAGGUAUCUUCUAGAACUGUCCUUACGUCAUACAUAGUAUCAUGGUAUAAGCAACUACCAUAGAACAUCAUCUCAGGCUGGAGAGAUGGCUCAGCGGUUAAGAGCACUGACUGCUCUUCCAGAGGUCCUGAGUUCA